GUACAUAUAAUUUAAAUAAAAUAUUAGACUGUGAUUCUAAUUAUGUAAGUUAAUAUCUUUCUAUAUACC
rnacentral:tRNA from 1 species